UAGAUUUAUGUUUUAAAGUUUGAUAUUUGGGUUUCAAAAACCUUCAAAGAAGAUUUCAAAUGCCGAUUAACUUCUCUGUUGUAACAAUUUUAAAGU
rnacentral:sRNA from 1 species